UUAAAAAACUUUGAUAUCACUUGAAUCUUCUUUAUUAUUUUGAUCUAUAUGAUGUGAUAGAGAUUUUAAUUCUCUGAUUUCAAUUUGUAGAAACUUUUGUUUUGAGUUGAAAACAAAAUAUUUCUUGGCUUGUAUUAGGGGAAAGUAAAACAAACAAACAAAACAAAACAAAACAAAAAAGAGGAAAAAUAUCCCAAAAAUCUGAAGUUCAUGUUAUAGUUAUGAUUUUUGUUUAUAUUAAUGUGCAGACCUCCACGAAUCAAAACCAGUGCAAAGAAACGGUAACAAAAACACAAUUUUCAAAAAACCAAAUUAUUAAACAGGCUUCAAUUUAAAAUUAUUAAUGUUUGGCUAAGGGGCUUGAAGCUAAGAACUAGGAGGUCAUCAUCAUGGGUGUGGCUAUUUAAUGAGCCCUCUGAUGAGCAGAAUAAUAGAGUAUUUAGAGGUAUGAAAAUGAAUCUCAGUGAUAUUUGAUUGCUUGUCAGAUUCCAUGUUUCCCCCAAAGGCUUAGAUCUCGAAGAGCACUUGUAUUUACUUAUAUCGUUUAGUUGCUGCACCUCUCUUCGAUUUCGUUCUUUUUUGAGCUUGGUUUUUGUUGUGCGUCCUCGUUUUAUUUCAGUUUCUUCUCAAUGAAAGUAUUUGUUUUCAUUUUUUAUUUAUCAUUUAUUUAAAAAAGGAAAGGAAAGGAAAAAAAAAAAA